rnacentral:misc_RNA from 1 species
GAUGAAAAGGGGGGCUAGCGAACAAAGUGGAAGAGAACGUAAACUUUUCUUUGAGAACAGUAUAGAAAAGAUAGAUAGAUAUUGCACGAAAGCGGAACGGGAUGAAAUAGUCAGGGGAAUUGAUAGUAUUGUUGAUCAAGUGUCAGACAAUAAAAUUGACAUUAUUUCGGGGAAUGUGAAAGAGGAGCACAGACCGUCAAACACUACUCAAAUACGUAUCGAUCUCCCAAUCGAGAGAGAGAUAACGGCUGUUGUAGUAAGGGGUCACAGGCUAUCGGAAAUUGCCGUUGGCGUCGGCGCAGAUAUCGAAAAGAAGCUAAUCCAAGAUACAAAGAAUAACAUGAAAGAAUGCGGCACUCUUACAAAUUAUCUUUCAACAGAAGUUUGUAUUCUAUGCGAAACAAAACUCGAGUCGUCAAAUAUUGUGCUUCUCUCUUUUGUCGAGUCUCGAAUGACUAUUACCGAACUAUACGUAACGUCUAAAUCGUAUAACGUUCAAGAUCACAGCAGGAGCUUAGCUAAAGGUGUAAACGUUAUCAAUUCCCAGAAAUCAGCGGAUACUUAUAAAAUGGUCGAUAAUGAUUUGAUGAAUACCUGUGUCUAUAAUUGGGGACAACCAUCUUACGUUAUUAUUGAAUUAUUAGAUGUUUCUUAUAUAAACAGAGUAGUAUUAUUAUCGAAAUUUAAUGGAUUAAGAACAUUAAUUGUAGCUGCUGUACUUGGUAAACAUUCUAAUAUAAAUAAAUAUAAGAAUGUAAACUAUUGUUACUCCUACGUGAGACGAUCACCGAUAACGAGAAUCGAUAAAUAUUGCGCAAGAGUUCUAAAGACGAGGGGCGUAGCUAUUAUAUCAGAAGAGAAACAAUUCCAAUUAUGUUCGGUUCAAGUGUAUUUUGAUAAAGAAUUUGGAAAAUUACAACCAGAACGAAAAAUUCUGACUAAUUACAGCUGGGCUGUUGAAAAUGCAUUAAGGGAUAGGGAAAUAUUAAAUAACGAUACAGAAUUGGCAUUUUUGACAAACGAUGCCGCAUUUAAAUUGAAAUUAUUUAGAAAAUCGAAUUUGAAUGAUGGCGAUAUUAGAACUUGUAUACCAAUUAUAGCCACAAGACUUAUACAUCUUGACUCGAUAUUAAUCAAGAUAUUUCUUAGAAUAACUAGAUCUUUCAAGUAUUUUUUCAUCUACGGUUAUGACAUAUGCUCUCUAAAAGGAGGAAAAGUGUCAACUUCCUUUCGUAUUGGUGCAAUAACAACGAUAAAUCCAAAGAAUAAACUAUCGGAUUCGGUAUUUUGUAGACCUAAAUUUUCCGAUUGCGAUGAUGAAUUCAAUAUGAACGAUGCUGAUAUGUUUUCAUAUCGUAUCAGACUUGGGUCGUUUUCAAUUAAGAGAUACAGAGUUAUCUGCCAAACUCCCGUGAGAGGCAACGUAGUUAUUUUACAAUUAAAACACCGUGCAAAUGAUUUUUCUAUUUGCGAAGUUGGAUCUUUCGUUGAGCAACCGGAAGUUGCAACUUUUGACAAGAAUUCGUAUCAUUUUCAAAAAUUAUUAAUUAAAGCUAAACAUUUAACGCCUUUCGAUGUUGACGAUGUGAUAUCUUCGAGACUACUUGAUACCGGAAGUAAUCAGACUAUGAAUUUAAGGAAGACACUUAUACCCAGAAUCGGUUUAAAAUCAGAUUGGAUGAUAACAGACCCUAAUUCAUGUUUAAGCACUGUCAUACUAACAGAUAAGCCUUCCUAUGUGGGCGUUAGAUUUACGAAAACGAAUAUUGGAGGAGUUAAAUUAUUGUCCGAUGCAAACUCUUUGGGACCAUUAAGGGUAGAAGGUGGAAACGUUCCUAAAACAGCGUUUUAUAGGGGACCGGCAGACAAUUCAAAUACUGAAAUAUGCUUCUAUCUAUAUAUAGAUGAAAGGAAGGCUGCUUCUCGUUAUAGCGUCGUAGAUAGGAGAUGCUAUAGGUCUAUAAAAAGAGCUACUACACUCUACGUAAUAUCAUCUAUAGGUUACGAUUUACGUGUAUGCAAAAUUUUUAUAUACGAGCAGAAAACUUUGGCACCUGAUAAGAAAAAGGUGGGAGGUUACGGUUUAUCGCUCGGAAGGAACGAAACAUACUACAUCAAUAAUGGACCUAAUUUGAAUACUUCUUUAAAAAACUAUGAAAGAUUUAGACAAUCGGAUAGCAUCUCUAAAGGUCUUCUAGCCCGUAUUGAAAAUUACAAUUAUCAAUCUUAUUAUAAUUCACGUAUUACCAAUUCGCCAAAAGUAACAUUUUCCUUUGGUCCAAAUGUCACGGCUGUUUCCCUUGACCUUAAACGAGUUUUUCGCUUAAUAAAUGUUUCUCUUGGUGUUGAAACCCCCUUAGAACCAAAUCGAACAUUAUACAUAUGGUACGACUACGCCUUACAACCGGAAAUCUUUACUUUUUCUUCAAAAGGUCCCAAUUGUUGGUCUAGAAGAACUAUUGGUAGAGGAUUUUUUAUUCUAACUUGUACGUUAUUUAAAGUAGCAGGUAGAUUCAUAAGAGUAGAACUUGAACCAAGCAGUAGGAAGCAUACGAUAAAACUAUGGAAAUUGGACGCAGUUUCAGACCAAAUAGGUGGCAUUUGCUAUCAAUUAGAAAGAGUUUAUUCUCAAGUUUUAGAAGAGAUGGGAAAUCCAACAGUAGCCCUUACGCUAAAUAUCUGCAAAUACCGAUGUUGGUCUAUUACGAACUGCAAUUAUUUUAAAUACCAUAAUUCAAUAUGUAAUUUAUAUAAGAAAAAGUCCAAAGGAACGAUUGGUACAGCAAUUAAAUCGGCCUAUAGAAAAAAGAAUUGCUCUCAGAACGAGUAUAAAGCGUCUUAUGAUCAAUUACCCAUAACUGAAAGAGAGAAGGCUAUGGAAGGUUAUAGAAUCCUCCUGGCGUCAACAAAUACAGAUGGUUUUACAAAAUUAUCUGCAGUUUUUGAAUCUAGGUCCGCUAUUGAUUCAAAUUUUGGAGAAUUCAGCUGCACGAAUACAAGAAGGUCAUCUUGGAUAUCCAUAAAAUUAAGGGAAAGAAAUAAAUUGGGUAGAAUUCGGAUAAGAUCAGUAGGAGGCAGCUUAAGUCAUUUGAAUACUGCAGUUUUCUCUGAUGAUUCUAUUCUUAGAUUAAGUUCUUUUGAUAAGUUCUUAUCGAAUGAGCUUGAACAUUGCUAUACUCUUUCUGAGAGCCUUGAUGAAGCCAUAUAUCAAUAUGAGGAUAGGUGCUGGAGAGAUAUUGAAGGGGAGUAUAUACUUAUUUAUACUGAGAUCCUUCCCUCGCUACACGUUUGCGAAGUAAAGGCCUAUUCUGUUAAUAUGCCUGAUCCCUGUUACGAUCACAAAUGUCCCAUGGAUUUGUCUAAAUGUGUUAAGUUUAGAAGCCACUAUCAUUGUCAAUGUUACGAUAGUAACCUUAUAUUCGGUAAUUUGUGCCAAAUGAGAGCUUCCGGUAAAUUUUUACUGAAUUCUAAUGUAUCAAUUAUUGAUUGGCGAAGAUCUAGACAUCAUUAUUUAGUCGAUCUUGCUAAAAAAAAGAGAUCUUUUAUUUACGGCUCUUACGAUCAACAACCUAUUUAUUUAGGAUUAAACCUGACGGACGGAGACUUAAGGACUUGUGUAAAUAUGGAUGAUCGUUUCUUUGUAUCUGUCUACCUUGAGACGCUAUUUCCCGUUGGUAGAAUAAUUUUAGGGGGAAAGAAUAUGAAUAAGACGUCGGGGAAUGCCUUGAUAAUUGAGGUCCGUACAAGUCGAUCAUAUUUCCAAUUUUCAUCUUUAAUCGAGUUCGAAAGAGAACGAUCAAAGCGAACAACUCUUUGCUACGAAGGUUUCUAUUCGACACCUUCAACACCUUUUAUAAACGCAACGUGCCGUACAUAUGAUAAAGGUAGGAAGAGCGAAGUUCAAACUCCACAAAAUGCCCGAUUAAUCUAUGUUUAUGUUGGAGGUGUGACUUCUGUUUUUGAAUUAUGCGAAAUAGAAGUUUACAAAUUGCCUGAGAGAAGACAGAGUUGCCUGAGAACGAUUUGGUCAUCAAAACCAGAUGAUCAAUUCGAUAAAAGUCAUCUUAUUGAGAGGAAAGUUUUAAAGAACAAGGACGAUUGUGAACUUCUCUGCAGGAGCUUAAGUAAUUGUAAAGGCGGCGAAUUCGGAGGGUCAGCAUGUCUAUUAUUCGAUUACCUAGUAUUCGAUAGAUCUUUACGAAGGAGGAGUUCGGCAGGUGGAGUAGUGCACUUGUUCGAAUUGGUCAAUUGUAAUAUAACAUCCAUAGAAAAUUACGGAAAAGGACCAAAAAGUAUUACAAAGUGGGUUUCAGCCACCACUAGUAGUCCUAAAUCGGAAACCGGUAAGGAGAUUGAGGGAUUGAAGGCUUCAGGAAAAAUAAGUAACAUGUGUACUUGGAUAGACUGUAGUCAGUCACAGACAGAUCGUUAUUGCUAUUGGCUCGUUAAUCUAGGCACGAAGAAGUAUAUCUACGCCGUAAAUAUAAAAAGCGAUAUAAAUAUCCUUAGUAACCUGGCGGUAGAAACUAUUAAAGAGGGGGAUCAGGAGAAGGACUUUGACGCAAUCUUCAGUAGCACUGCCCAUAACCGAACGGAUUUAGAUAAGAAGCUUUGUUAUCAUUAUACAGGAGUAUUGACUAAAGAGAUACGUGGUUAUUGCGAGGAAGUCGCUUUAUCAACAUAUGUUUUAAUAACGAAAUUGGCUACUGAUAAAGAAUUUCUUUGGCUAUGUUCUAUAAAUAUAAUAGAAUGGAGAUUAUCGUCAAAGGAGAUGGAUCGUUAUCUUUAUGGUUGUGAAAAUGGUCAUAAAGGUAAACACGUUAGGGGGCAAUUAAAAUGCAAUUGUUCAAAAAAUUCUGGCUCCUUCUGUCAAUCUGUCAAUUGCUCUAGUUCACUUAGCAAAUGUAAAGGUAGAAAGUGCAAAAAAAAGCCCUAUUCUGUUCUCAAACCAUUGGAUUUUUUUAAAGAAAGUUGCCACUGCAAAAAGGAUGAGUAUGGCAAAUAUUGCGAAUAUAGCCGACCGUCGAACCAAUGCAUUUCAAAUCCGUGCCAAAACGGUGGAACUUGUCAGGCCAAUUCAGAUAAUGAUUGGCCUCUAGGUAUCAGAUGCAAUUGUCAUUUGGGCACUAGAGGCGAUUUUUGCGAGGUUAACAAUGACGACUGUUUAAAAAAACCUUGUUUGAAUAAUGGAACUUGUAUAGAUAUGGUCAACGGUUUUCUUUGCACUUGUCCACAGGGUUUCACUGGUAAAAAGUGUCAAGAUUCUAUCAAUUUUUGCCAAUCUCAUUCAUGUUUAAAUUCUGCAAUUUGUUACAAUAGGCCCUCUUCCCACGUCUGUCACUGUUCCAAAGGCUAUAAUGGCACUAAUUGUUCCAUGGUCGUAAAUACAUGUAGCUGGUCUUCGACAAUGUGCUUUAAUGGUGGUACAUGCAUACCGGAGGUUGGAAAUUUUUCUUGCGCCUGCAGGAAGGGAUAUUUUGGUAAUAGAUGUCAAUUUUUUGAAAAUGCUUGUUCCAACGAUACAUGUUUGAAUGGUGGAACUUGUAACGAAGUACGUCUAGCCGAUACACUUCCGAUUCCAACUUGCGCUUGUAAAGUAGGAUUUAGCGGUAACACCUGUGAAAUUAUACUGAAUCCCUGUCAACCGCCUUCUCCUUGUCUAAACGGAGGUAUUUGUAGGCCUAAAAAUACGUUCUAUGAUUAUUUUUGCGACUGCCCAGAAGAGUUUCAUGGAAAGAAUUGUGAAAUAAAAUUUACUGCUAAACAAUGCAGUUCAUGUCCUUGUAUGAAUAAUGCUACCUGCCAGGAACAUCCUUUAAAUCCAAAGGAUUAUAUAUGCCUUUGUUCUAAAGGAUUUACUGGAAAACGUUGUGAAAAUGAUAUUGACGAGUGCUCAAUAGAGGAAAGCUGCCAGAAUAGUUUCCCACCUGCAUAUACUCAACCGCCCCUAAAGAAAAAUUGCACUGAAACCUCCUUUAUAAAAAAAGUAACAUAUCCGAUAGAUGGCAUUAAUUGUCUACGGAAAAAGAAUAGCAAAGAAGCAGCAUGCGAAAGUACUGCUUGUAUAAUGGGACUGUGUUCUAUAAACUUAACUUUUGGUCGAGGCGAUAAUAUAACUAAACUGGAAUGCGGAAAGAGGGGAACUGUAAACCAAUGUAUAAACGCUAAUGCCAUAAACAUAACCUGCUUGGGAAGAAAAUGCAAUUUGGUUAAUUUAACUGAUAAUUAUUACUGCGAAUCGGCUAAUUGUACCGGAUACAUGCGAGAAACCAAAGUUGCAUGUAGUUUAACUCCUAUUGAACCAAAAACGCCUUGGGUUUGUCUUAAUUUAAUAGGAAGGUCAGAAUGUUCUUGCCCGUGGAAUUCAACUGGAACGUAUUGUAAUGUUUCAAAUAUUCCAAGUCCGUGUAAUAUGAUGGGCAUUAUUUGUUCUAAUCACGGAGUAUGUCAUGACAAUGGAACAAAAUUUUAUUGCCAGUGUGAUCAUGGUUAUCAAGGAAAUUUUUGCGAGUAUCAAUCAAGAAAAUGCAUUCCAAAUACAUGUAAAAAUGGCGGAAUCUGUAAUCCAGUUUUAACUAAUAUGACCUGUAAUUGUCAAUGCCAGAAGGGUUAUGAGGGCACCUCUUGCGAAAGAGAUACUGAUGAGUGUUCCUCCUUAGAUUCUAAUUUAUGCCUACAUGGACAAUGUGUAAAUGUACCUGGGUCGUACGCUUGUCUUUGUGAUGAUGGUUUCCAUGGACCAACAUGUAGUAAUUCAAUAAAUGAAUGUUCUUCAAAUCCUUGUGGUUUAGGCGCCAUCUGUCAUGACUUGACUGCUACCUAUUCUUGCUCCUGCCCAGAACAUGCUUUCGGUUUACCAAACUGCAAACCGAUUCCAUUUUGUCAAAGUUCGAAUGCUAGUUGCGAUCCUGUAGGAACAAAGUAUUGUCAAUCUGAAGAAGCAAAUCCGGCUAAAGGAAAAUGCGAAUGUAAACCUGGUUAUAUUGGUGAAACUUGUUCUACAGAACUAGAUACUUGCUCCCCAAACCCGUGUUUAAAUGGGGGUACCUGUAGGAGAUUGACAAACGAUUAUCUCUGCGAAUGCCCUAAAGGUUUUGCUGGUGAUAAUUGUAUCAGAAAAAUUAAUCCGUGUUUAAGCAAUCCUUGUUCCCUUGAGAGAUCCGUUUGUGUUCCUUUAGCAAAUGGAUCAUAUAUAUGUGAUUGUUUACUUGGCUUCAAUGAUCCUCCAGAUUGUCAAAAGGGAUCAUUGCGAAAUCUGGAAUCCAGCUUGCGAUAGUAACCCCUGUAUGAAUAAUGCAACGUGUAAUUCAACAGGAAUUGCUGGCUUUAAGUGUAUUUGCCACUGUUUAUAUGAAGGAAGAUUAUGCGAGAAAACUAAAGAUUUUUGUGAUACUUAUCCAAAGCCUUGCUCGGUUGGCUUUGCUAAAAAGUGCGUACAAAUUUCAGGAGUUUGUCAAGCAACUUGCAUUUGCGAAGAUGGAUUCUAUGGUGAAGAAUGUAUUUUUGACAUGGAUGAGUGCCAAUCGGGCCCCUGUGGAAUAGGAACGUCCUAUUGCGAGAAUACGCCUGGUUCUUAUCGGUGCAUUUGUAAAAAUGGUUGGGGCGGCAAAAGAUGCGAUGUCAACGAGGAUAGAUGUCUGUCCUGUAGGACUAUUAACUGCGUCGAUCCGCCAGAGACUAAUAAAUGCUAUUGCUUACCGGGACAAGCCGGAUUCAACUGUGAAUACGAAUCGUGUAGACCGAAGGAAGAUUAUCUUGCAGACUGUUUAAAUGGGGGAUUAUGCAUUAGGAAGAAUCCGCAUAGUCAGCCUACUUGCGAAUGUCCCGAAAAUUUUUCAGGCGUCAAAUGCGAACAUAAGUUGGCAAAUGAAGCUUGUUCUUGUCACCCUAAUAGGGGUUUGGGUUGCCUUAACGGCAAGUGUAUUUGUAAGCCAGGAUAUUCGGGCGAAUAUUGUGAUAUAAUGAUUAGGGAAUGUCACCUAAAACCUUCUUGCCCUUCCAAUUAUUCAUGUAUAGAUGAUUUAAACUUUAUUCGUAGGAAGCGAAGUACAAUAAGAUAUGUUGAUUUUACAUGUAAAGUUCCAACUCAGCCAGGUAGCGAUAGACACUCGGUUUCGUGGUUUAGAAGAAGAAUGGGAACGAAUGAAAGAAUUUUCAAUGCCGAAUUCGGAAUUUUUAAGAGUUUACCAUCCAAACAUGGUUAUCUUUUUACUGCUGAUGGUAAACGUGCAAAUAUUACUUACUACAAUUAUUCUGUUAGACUAGAUACACCCAAUGUCAUGAGCCUUAUUAACUAUGAAUAUUCAUGCGUAUCAAGUUUUCAAAAUUCAUCGGUAACGAGCCUUGAAUUUAAAUCUUCGCUCCAUUAAUAGCAUAAUUUAUAAUUUUUAGGGAAUAUUUAACCUUCUCAUUAGUCACUUUAUACUAAAAAGGGAGGGGAAGGUCGUCUACGUGUCUUUAUACGAGGGGAAUAAGAAGUGCGUAAAAAAUUCAUGUUUACAACUGUUACCGGAUUUGACCUUCCCACCAUGUUCAAAUGGUACUUGCAAGACGGAUACAAGAAUAAAUUCCCUAAAGCAGAUAAAAAACGUCUUCUAUACUGAUUAUCGUUGUCAUUGCGGUCCUUAUUACACUGGUAGGAAUUGUGAAACAUUAAUUAAUAUAUGCUCCUACGUUCAUUGUAAAAAUGGGGGCACUUGCAUUCAAAAGGGAACAAAUUUUAAAUGUCUUUGUUUGUCAAUCUUUGAGGGGGAAUUAUGUCAAUAUUACAUCAGACCUUGCGACAGUAAUCCCUGUUAUAAUGGCGGUAGUUGCAUCGGUGCGUUGCAUCCUGUUGAUAAAAGAAAAGUUUGGGGGUGUAAAUGUUCACCUAAGUUCUAUGGCGAAAGGUGUGAAAAGAAAUCUACCGCGUGUUUAAGUAGACCUUGUUUUAAUGGUGGAAAGUGCGAACCCAUGGGAAUUUCAUAUAUGUGUAACUGCCCACCCGGUAUAAAUGGCACAUUUUGUGAACAAUUUACACCAUGCUAUUCGUUGCCUUGCAGUAAUGGCGGAACUUGCAGAACUAUGUCAGAUGGAAUUUCAUACACCUGUUUAUGUCCCGAAGGGUAUUUUGGAAGGACUUGUUUAUUUACUCGACCCUGUGACGCGUUACCUUGUCAGUUUGGGGGUAGUUGUAGUGAGAAAAAAGGGAAAGUAACAUGUACAUGUCCUGAUCAUACAACGGGAAAAUUUUGCGAACACACACCGUCUAAUUGUUUUGGUACCAUUUGUUUCAAUGGAGCCAAAUGCAGGGGUACAGUAGAGAGUCCGAAAUGCCUAUGCCCUCCGGGAAUUUAUGGAGAUGGUUGCGAAGUAUCAAAUAGAAGGAUGGAAGAAGGGGAAAUAGGUAGUUUGGGUGUUUGGCAAGGGCCAGAAGUACCUCUUUUACCAGGUGAAUUGGCGAAAAAGAACUUCUCGAGAGAAUAUGAUGAAGAACUGAAGAAUUCAACGGAUUGCUAUUACUUCAAUUGUUUUCAUCAAGGAGCAUGUACGCUAAAAUACGGAAAAUUAUCAUGUAACUGCCCCCAUGGAUACACUGGGGAGAAUUGCGAGGUUGCUAUUUAUGAUUGUCCUAACAAGACUUGUAGCAACUCUGGUCGUUGUAAGAUAUACAAGUCAAUUGGAGAAACUGCAUCACUUGUGUGCAAAUGCCCUACUGGUUGGAAAGGCGAUUAUUGUACAAUUGCUUAUCCUGAUGACCAGUGUCAGUCAACUGAUUGUAAAUGGGGCGGUACGUGUACAUUAUUACAGAGCGGAGGCUAUAAAUGCGAUUGUCCCCCACUAACCACGGGCCCUAGUUGUCAGACAGUUCUAAGUUCCUGUAUUGGACAGCCCUGCUGGAAUGGGGGUGUAUGCGAACCGCUACCUGAUCUGGGUAUAUAUUCAUUUCGGUGUCAUUGCCCUCAGACAUUUUCCGGUAAUUUUUGCGAAGACAAAGCUGCUGAGGAAAACUUGUUUGAAGUGCUAUUUACCGCAAUGAUAUUUUUAUCCAUUGGGUUAAUUUUGUUAUUAACUGUCAAGGCUGUCGUCAAUUUGACCGCUUCUAAGAAUCUUAUGCGAGGUUAUUAUUUCUGUGAGAAGAAUUCGUUGAUUUGGUCGAGAUUGCGCCGUAUAAAUAAUAAUACAGAAAAUAAAAAUAACAUGAAAAGAUUUUUAGUGGACAUAGAAAGUGAUAAACGAAAUUUGUUUCAAAAGAAUAUUAAAGAUCAUAAAAUCCUAUGACGUCAUUUUCGAAGAAGUCGUCUUUUUUUUUACUGCUCUAAUAAAACGUUAUUUUUUUAUAUUUUACCUUUUAAGGAACAAUUUUGUACAGUUUUGUUAUAUCGUUUGUUGAACAAAUAAAGCGGUUUACUAAUCUAAUAUUGAUUGUCCCUCAGGGACUAAAUAAUAUUACCAGUUUUCGUGAAGAAUUUUUUACUUUUGUCUAUGAAAACUUUGAUUGACAUGUAUUUAUUAUGAUUAAAUUACGUAAUAUAAUAAAAAUGGCUAAAUUGUUGUAAACUUUACGUAUUUACCAUAUUUUGACUUUUUUUCUUAAAGAACAUACAGAUCUUUCCCAGAUCAUUAAGUAAUACUGCAGGGUAUUUUUACAAAUCAAAAGAGGUUAAUGUCCUAAAAGACCAAGGGUCCCAGGGCAAAAUCUCCCAUCAAUAGAAGAUGCAUGGGAAAUUGACAAAGAAACUUUAAAGGAGAGAAAACCUCAAAUGUCCCCUAAUGUUGUGCUUCAUCUGUCUGUUUGAGUCAGUUCGCUUCUCUCUCAUUUACUUCACUCUACUGCUUUAGCCUAGUUGUUUUUCUUUUUUAUGGCCAAAAGUCGACAUACUUGUCUAAACCAGACAAUGUUGAUCUACUAUACUUUACUCGUUAUACGUAGUAGUCCUAUGUCAAUGAAAAAGGAUUUUCGAUUUAUUUACUUACUUGCAUUAUAGAAUUAUCUACUUCAUCCUCUAAAAACCUGAAUGUAUCUAUUUGGAAAUCCAAUAAAUAUAUCUCUAUCAACAUUCUCUAAGUUCUUCAAUUUAUGGGGGGGCUAUAUAGAAAUGUUCUCUAGAGAUGCAACUUUUCCAUGUGUCGUCUAGCAUGUCCUCCGGAAAUUCUUAAUAUUCUGGAAGAAUAUUUUUUUUAAAAGCAUUUCUUAAAAGAAAAACAUUCUCGUAGUUGAAAAUGCUUGGUGAUAAGUUUGAUAUUGACUGAUAGCAGUUUUAUGCUGUAAAAACGCUUCAUAUCUUCGUGUAAGAUGAUAGAAAUAAAGCGUUUGCGGUAAAGAUUAAAUAGGUUCAUUUUUAUAGCAUUAAAAGAAUUUUUGUGUGGCGCCCCCUUUGUCUGGGUUUGAAAGAAGAUACGAGAAGAAGGUGUCUAAAGCAUGGAGUCUUUUGUCAUAUCCAGGAAACGGCGUCGACAGAGAAGAAAAACGUGGCUAAAGGGGUGAGGGGAAGUGAAAAUUCUCCGGAGCAAACAAUCAAAUUCCACAGUAAAUGCAGAAUUACCGUUUUUCUCCAAAUAUUUACUUAUCGCCACUUUUAUCGCUUCAAAUAAGUCGGCUAGAAUUGAAAAAAAAUAAAUAAAUAAGAAGAAGUAGAC